CGUGUUUAUUGUGGGGUGGAAUGCAGGCAAGAACAGGCAGAGAUUUUCCUCCAGAGUCAAAACUGGGUUUUGCUCUGAGCUGCACAGAGGAUGCUAUUGAAGAGGAUGAGUUCAGCAGUCUGUGGUCCACAACCUCCUCCUUCAUAUUCCUCUUCAUAUCCUCUCUCUUCUAUAGCAUGAUAUUCAACCUGGUCAAGAUGAAGAGACGAUGGAUGCACAGCGCAGACGACUACAGAUCUUCAUUUCUUUUUUGUCUUUUUUAAAACAUGUACAUUAUCGAUGAUCUACUGUACAUCUGCUAAAUGAAAUGGUCGUCAUAUAUAAUGAUUAACUAAACACUGAAAAUGGAUUUCUCUGUAACCUGUAGAAAAAUCAAAAAUACAACUGCAAUUGUUAAUUGUUGAUAUGAAUACAUUUGGAUUGUUGUUACAUUAUGAUUACAGAAGUUCUUGAUUACUUUUCAUUAAAAUGUGUUAGUGAAGUGUAGCAUUAACUUGUCAUUGAUAUGUAAAUAACAAAUUGUACUGUAGUAGAAACAGAAAUCUUUGCUUUUCAUGUUUGGUCAUUUUGUUGAUCAUAUUUGCUUUCAUCAUUAAUUCGAUAGAUAUGAUACUUACAAUAGAUGAGAUUUGUACAGACACAAACAUUAAAGGGAGUAUGAAUAUGAGUCAUAGUGUGCUUGUGAUUAAUAUAAAAAGCUUCUGAGGAUUUUGUUCACAACAUCUAAAAUAACACCACAUCAAGUCAAUGUACCGUAAACUUCUGUUAUCAGUUAAGCUCUGAAGGUUUUUCAAUUUCCUGGAGUUUCUAAACAUAUCAUCUUUAGAGAGUCACUUCCCCUCUCUCUGCACCUCUGGGACCACACCUGUAGCAGUGAAACUUUGUAGAAACCGUCAGAGCUACGAAUAAACUUCCUCGAAGCAAGA